UUACGGCCAUAUCAUGUUGAGACACCGGUUCCCAUCUGAUCACUGAAGUUAAGCAAUGCUGAUCCUGUUCAGUGUCUAGCAGGGUGACCGUUUGGGAUACCAGCUGCUGUAAG